GACGAACGCUGGCGGUGUGCUUAACACAUGCAAGUGGUGCGACGAACCAGAGCUUGCUCUGGGGCAAAGCCGCGAACGGGUGAGUAACACGUGGGUAAUCUACCCCGAUGACCGGGACAACCCGAGGAAACUCGGGCUAAUACCGGAUGUGGUGCGGAGACAUAAGUCUCUUCACUAAAGGUAGCUUCGGCUUCCGCAUUGGGAGGGGCCCGCGGCCCAUUAGCUUGUUGGUGGGGUCAAGGCCUACCAAGGCAACGACGGGUAGCUGGUCUGAGAGGACGAUCAGCCACACUGGGACUGAGACACGGCCCAGACUCCUACGGGAGGCAGCAGUGGGGAAUCUUGCGCAAUGCGCGAAAGCGUGACGCAGCAACACCGCGUGAGGGAAGAAGGCCUUAGGGUUGUAAACCUCUUUCAGAUGGGACGAAGGUUCUCCGGUGAAUAGCCGAGAGGAUUGACGGUACCGUCAGAAGAAGCUCCGGCUAACUACGUG
rnacentral:rRNA from 1 species